GAUGAACGCUGGCGGCGUGCCUAAUACAUGCAAGUCGAGCGAACAGACGAGGAGCUUGCUCCUCUGACGUUAGCGGCGGACGGGUGAGUAACACGUGGAUAACCUACCUAUAAGACUGGGAUAACUUCGGGAAACCGGAGCUAAUACCGGAUAAUAUAUUGAACCGCAUGGUUCAAUAGUGAAAGACGGUUUUGCUGUCACUUAUAGAUGGAUCCGCGCCGCAUUAGCUAGUUGGUAAGGUAACGGUUUACCAAGGCGACGAUGCGUAGCCGGCCUGAGAGGGUGAUCGGCCACACGGGAACUGAGACACGGUCCAGACUCCUACGGGAGGCAGCAGUAGGGAAUCUUCCGCAAUGGGCGAAAGCCUGACGGAGCAACGCCGCGUGAGUGAUGAAGGUCUUCGGAUCGUAAAACUCUGUUAUUAGGGAAGAACAAAUGUGUAAGUAACUAUGCACGUCUUGACGGUACCUAAUCAGAAAGCCACGGCUAACUACGUG
rnacentral:rRNA from 1 species